GAAAAAUAGAUGCUUGGUUCCAAGGCUAAUUUUCCCUUUGAAGGGUUUAUUACAAACAUCUACUAUUCAUCAUUUCCAACAUGUGACAUAAAAUUGAUUUUUGAAAUUCAACAUGUCAAAAAUCAGAUUCAGAUUCAGAUUCAAGUGUUAUUUGAUCUAAUGAACCAAGAACUGCAUGAUUUGUGAAAUUAAAGACCUUUGUGAUGACUGGGUUUCAAUCUAAUAACAUCCAUUGUAGGCUUGUAAGUUGUAGCUGUGCAUGGUAGCCAGCAAUAUGGAAGGAAGCACAAGAUCAAAGAAAAAUGGAAAGGAGAAAGAGAAGAUACCAAAAAGAAAGCAAUCAAUAGUCAGACCUAGGGUCAUGAUAUUGCAUCCCGAAAAGGAAAAGGGGAGAGAGAAAGGAAAAGAAAAGACACAAAAGAAAGCUAAAUGUUUCUAGCAAGAAAACAAAAGGUGGUUAAGUUGCACAAAAUUAUGUUUAUUUUUUGAAAAAAUUUCCACAAAAAUGGAGAGAAUUUCCAUUCAGACCAGUACCACUAUGAUUUCUGCUAUCAAUGCCAACAUUAUCACCACCAACACAACCACUAUAUUGCCACUGCCAUAACAUUUCAACCCAUGCUGUUAAACCCCUUAUGAAUCAAAUUUACUGAAGCAAU
rnacentral:misc_RNA from 1 species